UGGAUCCAGACUUUGAUUCUGGCUCAGGAUGAACGCUAGCUACAGGCUUAACACAUGCAAGUCGAGGGGCAGCAUGAAGUCAGCUUGCUGACUUUGAUGGCGACCGGCGCACGGGUGAGUAACGCGUAUCCCACCUGCCCAUCACUGGGGAAUAACCUUGCGAAAGGAAGACUAAUGCCCCAUGGUUUUCCAAGCGGACAUCCAAAUGGAAAUAAAGAUUUAUCGGUGAUGGAUGGGGAUGCGUCCGAUUAGCUUGUUGGCGGGGUAACGGCCCACCAAGGCUACGAUCGGUAGGGGUUCUGAGAGGAAGGUCCCCCACAUUGGAACUGAGACACGGUCCAAACUCCUACGGGAGGCAGCAGUGAGGAAUAUUGGUCAAUGGACGGGAGUCUGAACCAGCCAAGUAGCGUGCAGGAUGACGGCCCUAUGGGUUGUAAACUGCUUUUAUAGGGGAAUAAAGUUCGGGUCGUGACCCGUUUUGCAUGUACCCUAUGAAUAAGGACCGGCUAAUUCCGUGCCAGCAGCCGCGGUAAUACGGAAGGUCCCGGCGUUAUCCGGAUUUAUUGGGUUUAAAGGGAGCGUAGGCCGGAUGUUAAGCGUGUUGUGAAAUGCCGCGGCUCAACCGUGGCACUGCAGCGCGAACUGGCAUUCUUGGGUGCGCACAAGGCAGGCGGAAUUCGUGGUGUAGCGGUGAAAUGCUUAGAUAUCACGAAGAACCCCGAUUGCGAAGGCAGCCUGCCGGGGCGUAACUGACGCUGAAGCUCGAAAGCGUGGGUAUCGAACAGGAUUAGAUACCCUGGUAGUCCACGCGGUAAACGAUGGAUGCCCGCUGUUUGCACGUUAGUGUGAGCGGCCAAGCGAAAGCAUUAAGCAUCCCACCUGGGGAGUACGCCGGCAACGGUGCAACUCAAAUGAAUUGACGGA
rnacentral:rRNA from 1 species